UACGUAGGGUGCAAGCGUUGUCCGGAAUUAUUGGGCGUAAAGAGCUCGUAGGCGGUUUGUUGCGUCUAUCGUGAAAACCUGCAGCUUAACUGUGGGCUUGCGGUGGAUACGGGCAGACUUGAGUUCGGUAGGGGAGACUGGAAUUCCUGGUGUAGCGGUGAAAUGCGCAGAUAUCAGGAGGAACACCGGUGGCGAAGGCGGGUCUCUGGGCCGAUACUGACGCUGAGGUGCGAAAGCGUGGGGAGCAAACAGG
rnacentral:rRNA from 1 species